AUAAUCAUUAGAGGUCGCAACCAACAAGAGUAGUCAGUGAAGUUCCUGUUUGAACGUUGAAGCUGAUGAAAGGGGCGGUUGCCGAAGCACCAAGGUAUACAGGCCUUGGCACGCUGGGACUUAGCUUAACAGGCUUUGGACUGUCGCAGUUGAAAACGUCGACUGCGGGGCGCUAACGACGAC
rfam:Lactobacillus parafarraginis F0439 genomic scaffold Scfld412, whole genome shotgun sequence.